rnacentral:lncRNA from 1 species
UCAGUGGGGACAGUGGGGGUGAUGGGGGCAAUAGGGGCAAGGGGGGGGAAUAGGGGAUAUGGGGACAUUGGGGGCAAAGGGGGGAAUGGGGUUUUGGGUGGGGGGCAAUGGGGUAAAUGGAGACAAUGGGGACAUUGGGGUCAGUGGUAACGCUGGGGACAUUGGGGGCAAUGGGGUGCAGUGGGGACGUGGGGCUAAUGGGGAUAUUGGGGUCAGUGGGGACGGGGGUGUGGGUGGGGGGCCCCACUCUCUGCUCACCCUAAACUUUUAUGGGUCCAGGAGCUCCCCGACGUCCCCCUUUAUUACACGUUGGAUGGACUCAGCAGCACCCUGCGCUGCAACACGCCGUCCCUGCUGCAGCUCAGGUCCGCCCUGCUGCAUUCGGGGCACCGCGUCUCCCUGUCCCACGCCUGUAGGAACGCCGUGAAGACGGACGCCCCCCCAUCGGUGCUAUGGGACAUCAUGCGCUGCUGGGUACAGCAGCACCCCGUAAAACCCGAACGCCUCACAGACGGCAGCGCGGCCGCACGGAUCCUGGCCACAGAACCCACGUAUGGCCCCACAUCUAUGGGGUGUGGGGGGGUCCUGGUGCCCCCCCACACCCUAAAAUGACCCCCCAAAUCCCAUAGGGUGAAGGCUUUUGAGGUCCGCCCCGACGCCAACCCCAAUUCCAGGAGGCGCGGCCUGAAGCGCUUCCCCGAAAACCCCGAAGCGUUUUGGGGUCCCAAAGCACGGGCCAAAGUGGGGUGAGGGGGGGGGAUUGGGGGGGGGGCUGAGAUG